GAUGAACGCUGGCGGCAUGCCUAAUACAUGCAAGUCGAACGAGAGGAAGGAAAGCUUGCUUUUCUGAAUCUAGUGGCGAACGGGUGAGUAACACGUAGGUAACCUGCCCAUGUGCCCGGGAUAACUUCUGGAAACGGAUGCUAAAACCGGAGAGGUAGCAGACAAGCAUUUGACUGCUAUUAAAGUGGCUAAGGCCAUGAACAUGGAUGGACCUGCGGUGCAUUAGCUAGUUGGUGAGGUAACGGCCCACCAAGGCGACGAUGCAUAGCCGGCCUGAGAGGGCGGACGGCCACAUUGGGACUGAGACACGGCCCAAACUCCUACGGGAGGCAGCAGUAGGGAAUUGUCGUCAAUGGGGGGAACCCUGAACGAGCAAUGCCGCGUGAGUGAGGAAGGUCUUCGGAUCGUAAAGCUCUGUUGUAAGAGAAAAACGACAUUCAUAGGGAAUGAUGAGUGAGUGAUGGUAUCUUACCAGAAAGUCACGGCUAACUACGUGCCAGCAGCCGCCGUAA
rnacentral:rRNA from 1 species